AGCGAACGCUGGCGGCAGGCCUAACACAUGCAAGUCGAACGAACUCUUCGGAGUUAGUGGCGGACGGGUGAGUAACACGUGGGAACGUGCCUUUAGGUUCGGAAUAACUCAGGGAAACUUGUGCUAAUACCGAAUGUGCCCUUCGGGGAAAGAUUUAUCGCCUUCAGAGCGGCCCGCGUCUGAUUAGCUAGUUGGUGAGGUAAAGGCUCACCAAGGCUACGAUCAGUAGCUGGUCUGAGAGGAUGACCAGCCACAUUGGGACUGAGACACGGCCCAAACUCCUACGGGAGGCAGCAGUGGGGAAUCUUGCGCAAUGGGCGAAAGCCUGACGCAGCCAUGCCGCGUGGAUGAUGAAGGUCUUAGGAUUGUAAAAUCCUUUCACCGGUGAAGAUAAUGACUGUAGCCGGAGAAGAAGCCCCGGCUAACUUCGUGCCAGCAGCCGCGGU
rnacentral:rRNA from 1 species